rnacentral:rRNA from 1 species
CAUUACUGAGUGCGGGCCCCUCGCGGGUCCAACCUCCCACCCGUGUCUCUUGAAUACCCUGUUGCUUUGGCGGGCCCACCGGGCCACCCCCGGUCGCCGGGGGGCACCGCGCCCCCGGGCCCGCGCCCGCCAGAGCGCCUCUGAACCCUAAUGAAGAAGGACUGUCUGAGUCUACGAUAUAAUUAUCAAAACUUUCAACAAUGGAUCUCUUGGUUCCGGCAUCGAUGAAGAACGCAGCGAAAUGCGAUAAGUAAUGUGAAUUGCAGAAUUCCGUGAAUCAUCGAAUCUUUGAACGCACAUUGCGCCCCCUGGCAUUCCGGGGGGCAUGCCUGUCCGAGCGUCAUUUCUGCCCUCAAGCCCGGCUUGUGGUGUGGGCGUGGUCCCCCCGGUGUCGGGGGGACCUGCCCCAAAGGCAGCGGCGACGUUCCGCCUAGGUCCUCGAGCGUAUGGGGCUUUGUCACCCGCUCGGGAGGGGCCUACGGGCGUUGGCCAUCCACCAAUUUUUUACGGUUGACCUCGGAUCAGGUAGGAGUUACCCGCUGAACUUAAGCAUAUCAAUAAGCGGAGGAAAAGAAACCAACCGGGAUUGCCUCAGUAACGGCGAGUGAAGCGGCAAGAGCUCAAAUUUGAAAUCUGG